rnacentral:lncRNA from 1 species
AGAGAAGAAAAGGGAAUGUGGUCUCUCAUUUGUACGGAAGAGAAACAGACAAAGGAUAGAAAGAAAUAUUGGUGGGGUUUGCAUUUUUCUAUUUUUCAAAUAGAGAAUAAAGAUGAGAGAAAGUUAAUUAUGCAUUUCUAUUCCACAUAAAUUAUACAACAUGUCUUUCUUUUUUUGGGAACAACAUGUCUUUCUUUAUUACAUAAACAUGUCUUUUUAUUCUCUUUAUUUUAGUAGUAUUUUUGUC